UACGGGGGGGGUAAGCGUUGUUCGGAAUUACUGGGCGUAAAGGGCUCGUAGGCGGCCAACUAAGUCAUACGUGAAAUCCCUCAGCUUAACUGGGGAACUGCGUGUGAUACUGGAUGGCUUGGAUUUGGGAGAGGGAUGCGGAAUUCCAGGUGUAGCGGUGAAAUGCGUAGAUAUCGUAAGGAACGCCAGUGGCGAAAGCGAAUCUCUGGGCAGCAACUGACGCUGAGGCACGAAGGCCAGGGGAGCAAACGGG
rnacentral:rRNA from 1 species